rnacentral:lncRNA from 1 species
CUUAUCUUCACCACAGAGCAAAACCUUCACAGGACCAAUAGCUGGAGGCCUGAGAGCUGGACAGGCUUUGUUCUUCCAGGGUGUCGUUCCAACAGAUGCCAAAAAGUCAUUGUGAACGGACACUUUUUCUGUGAGUUCCAGCGCCGAGAUCCUUUGGAGAAAGUGAAAGACCUGAACAUCAAUGGAGACGUCUUCAUGAACCACUUCGGCAUCUGUGAAGUGGACCAGAUUAAAAUAAGUGUCACCUUGCCUGCCCACAAAGGAAACUGAUCGCCACGACUACCCAAGAUGUCUUAUUUUUUAUAAGUACUCAAGUAUCAUUGUGUUUAUAACAGGUUUUGAGUACUCAAUAUAGAGAAAAAAGUUUUGUGACACCAGUUUAUUCAUUGUGUCUUCCUAUUUAAAAGAUUUGAUCAUGCUUUUGUUGGAUUAACUGUCUCUAUACUGUUCAUAGAACACUUUCUACUAGAUUAUUAAACAUUGGUGUAAGGAUUUGAUUGCAUUCAGUAGCAACAAGAAAGAUGUUGGAUGAUCCCUAAUGUAUUCAUGUAUACAGUUUCUCCUCCAGAGAGUCCUAUUCUAUUGGAAGCAUCUAUUCACAGGGGCUAAACAAGCUGUUUAAGUGUGUACAUUAGAAGGGGUGUCCACAAAUAAAAGUGGUUAUAUAUAGUAGGAUUUGUUUUUU